CGUGCGGCGUGCUAAUACAUGCAAGUCGAGCGAAUGGAUUAAGAGCUUGCUCUUAUGAAGUUAGCGGCGGACGGGUGAGUAACACGUGGGUAACCUGCCCAUAAGACUGGGAUAACUCCGGGAAACCGGGGCUAAUACCGGAUAACAUUUUGAACCGCAUGGUUCGAAAUUGAAAGGCGGCUUCGGCUGUCACUUAUGGAUGGACCCGCGUCGCAUUAGCUAGUUGGUGAGGUAACGGCUCACCAAGGCAACGAUGCGUAGCCGACCUGAGAGGGUGAUCGGCCACACUGGGACUGAGACACGGCCCAGACUCCUACGGGAGGCAGCAGUAGGGAAUCUUCCGCAAUGGACGAAAGUCUGACGGAGCAACGCCGCGUGAGUGAUGAAGGCUUUCGGGUCGUAAAACUCUGUUGUUAGGGAAGAACAAGUGCUAGUUGAAUAAGCUGGCACCUUGACGGUACCUAACCAGAAAGCCACGGCUAACUACGUGCCAGCAGCCGCGGUAAUACGUAGGUGGCAAGCGUUAUCCGGAAUUAUUGGGCGUAAAGCGCGCGCAGGUGGUUUCUUAAGUCUGAUGUGAAAGCCCACGGCUCAACCGUGGAGGGUCAUUGGAAACUGGGAGACUUGAGUGCAGAAGAGGAAAGUGGAAUUCCAUGUGUAGCGGUGAAAUGCGUAGAGAUAUGGAGGAACACCAGUGGCGAAGGCGACUUUCUGGUCUGUAACUGACACUGAGGCGCGAAAGCGUGGGGAGCAAACAGGAUUAGAUACCGGGGUAGUCA
rnacentral:rRNA from 1 species